AUUGAACGCUGGCGGCAGGCCUAACACAUGCAAGUCGAGCGAGUGGCGGACGGGUGAGUAAUGUAUGGGGAACUGCCCGAUAGAGGGGGAUAACUACUGGAAACGGUGGCUAAUACCGCAUACCAUCGGAUGUACCCAGAUGGGAUUAGCUAGGUGGUGGGGUAAAGGCUCACCUAGGCGACGAUCUCUAGCUGGUCUGAGAGGAUGACCGGCCACACUGUGACGGGGACACGGCCCAGACUCCUACGGGAGGCAGCAGUGGGGAAUAUUGCACAAUGGGCGCAAGCCUGAUGCAGCCAUGCCGCGUGUAUGAAGAAGGCCUUAGGGUUGUAAAGUACUUUCAGCGGGGAGGCGUUACCCGCAGAAGAAGCACCGGCUAACUCCGUGCCAGCAGCCGCGGUAAUAC
rnacentral:rRNA from 1 species